rnacentral:lncRNA from 1 species
UCAUCAUGAGAAUCUAAUCUCAUAACCAAAUCAAAGUUACAUAUAUGUUUUAUAACUUUUUUUGGUAGCUACUUUGUGUUUGUAUGCUGAUUAAAAUCUUAUAAAUCAUGUUAGUUUUCAGUCUUAACCCAAUCAUUGUAUCGUAAUGAUUAGAAAUGAUUGAAUGUUGAACAUUUCUUUUGGCAUUGGCACCAACUAUAUUAACUAAUCCUUAUUUUCUCUCUUCUUUCUUCAACUUCUCCCUUAUUAGUUCCGGCAUGAUUGAAUAUAGAGCAAUUAGUAUACACAUGAACCAAAGUUCAGUUGCCAAUC